GACGAACGCUGGCGGCGUGCCUAAUACAUGCAAGUAGAACGCUGAAGGAGGAGCUUGCUUCUCUGGAUGAGUUGCGAACGGGUGAGUAACGCGUAGGUAACCUGCCUGGUAGCGGGGGAUAACUAUUGGAAACGAUAGCUAAUACCGCAUAACAGUAGAUGUUGCAUGACAUUUGCUUAAAAGGUGCAAUUGCAUCACUACCAGAUGGACCUGCGUUGUAUUAGCUAGUUGGUGGGGUAACGGCUCACCAAGGCGACGAUACAUAGCCGACCUGAGAGGGUGAUCGGCCACACUGGGACUGAGACACGGCCCAGACUCCUACGGGAGGCAGCAGUAGGGAAUCUUCGGCAAUGGACGGAAGUCUGACCGAGCAACGCCGCGUGAGUGAAGAAGGUUUUCGGAUCGUAAAGCUCUGUUGUAAGAGAAGAACGGGUGUGAGAGUGGAAAGUUCACACUG
rnacentral:rRNA from 1 species